UAGUAAAAGCUAAAAGGCUAGCCUAUUCUAGAAAGUAGCAAAAGAUUAGGAAAUUGGAAAAUCCUUGGUCCGUUGAUCUUCUUCUUCUUCUUCUCCGACAAAUCUCAACCGAGCUCAAUGGCAGCAUCUCUGUAGCAUCUGAAAUUUGUUGUUCCAGCUUCCAUAAACAGUUCAUGUGACACAAUCAGUUCUCAGUAUAGAGGUUUACCGAAAAAGUAUUCAUCAAUGAUGGUGACUGGAGUGCAAUAUGAAGUUUUCUCAUCAGAAGAUGAGGAUGUAUGUCCCCCACAUGCCUUGAAGAGAAUCCUAAGUUAUAUACAAAAUUUUCUCAUCAUUAUCACCUCAACUGUAUAUAUGAGUGGCAGAUGAGAAGUGCAACAUGUCCAGUUUGUGGAAAGGCAAGA